rnacentral:rRNA from 1 species
ACCUGCCUGUAAGACUGGGAUAACUCCGGGAAACCGGGGCUAAUACCGGAUGCUUGUUUGAACCGCAUGGUUCCAACAUAUGAGGUGGCUUCCGCUACCACUUACAGAUGGACCCGCGGCGCAUUAGCUAGUUGGUGAGGUAACGGCUCACCAAGGCGACGAUGCGUACCCGACCUGAGAGGGUGAUCGGCCACACUGGGACUGAGACACGGCCCACACUCCUACGGGAGGCAGCAGUAGGGAAUCUUCCGCAAUGGACGAAAGUCUGACGGAGCAACGCCGCGUGAGUGAUGAAGGUUUUCGGAUCGUAAAGCUCUGUUGUUAGGGAAGAACAAGUGCCGUUCAAAUAGGGCGGCACCUUGACGGUACCUAACCAGAAAGCCACGGCUAACUACGUGCCAGCAGCCGCGGUAAUACGUAGGUGGAAAGCGUUGUCCGGAAUUAUUGGGCGUAAAGGGCUCGCAGGCGGUUUCUUAAGUCUGAUGUGAAAGCCCCCGGCUCAACCGGGGAGGGUCAUUGGAAACUGGGGAACUUGAGUGCAGAAGAGGAGAGUGGAAUUCCACGUGUAGCGGUGAAAUGCGUAGAGAUGUGGAGGAACACCAGUGGCGAAGGCGACUCUCUGGUCUGUAACUGACGCUGAGGAGCGAAAGCGAGGGGAGCGAACAGGAUUAGAUACCCUGGUAGUCCACGCCGUAAACGAUGAGUGCUAAGUGUUAGGGGGUUUCCGCCCCUUAGUGCUGCAGCUAACGCAUUAAGCACUCCGCCUGGGAAGUACGGUCGCAAGACUGAAACUCAAAAGGAAUUGACGGGGGGCCCGCACAA